UGGGGGAUAUUGCACAAUGGGCGAAAGCCUGAUGCAGCGACGCCGCGUGGGGGAUGAAGGCCUUCGGGUUGUAAACUUCUUUUGCUCUGAACAAGGCGCACCAUGGGGUGUGUUGAGUGUAGGGGUUGAUUAGCGCCGGCUAACUACGUGCCAGCAGCCGCGGUAAUACGUAGGGCGCGAGCGUUGUCCGGAAUUAUUGGGCGUAAAGGGCUUGUAGGUGGCUGGUUGCGUCUGUCGUGAAAGCUCAUGGCUUAACUGUGGGUUUGCGGUGGGUACGGGCUGGCUUGAGUGCAGUAGGGGAGGCUGGAAUUCCUGGUGUAGCGGUGGAAUGCGCAGAUAUCAGGAGGAAUACCGGUGGAGAAGGCGGGUCUCUGGGCUGUUACUGACACUGAGGAGCGAAAGCAUGGGGAGCGAACAGG
rnacentral:rRNA from 1 species